rnacentral:rRNA from 1 species
AACGAACGCUGGCGGCAUGCCUAACACAUGCAAGUCGAACGAAGCCUUCGGGCUUAGUGGCGCACGGGUGCGUAACGCGUGGGAAUCUGCCCUUGGGUUCGGAAUAACAGUUAGAAAUGACUGCUAAUACCGGAUGAUGUCUUCGGACCAAAGAUUUAUCGCCCAGGGAUGAGCCCGCGUAGGAUUAGGUAGUUGGUGGGGUAAUGGCCCACCAAGCCGACGAUCCUUAGCUGGUCUGAGAGGAUGAUCAGCCACACUGGGAAUGAGACACGGCCCCGACUCUUGCUGGAUGCAGCAUUGGGAAAUAUUGGACAAUGGCCGAAAGCCUGCUCCAGCAAUGCCGCGUGAGUGAUGAAGGCCUUAGGGUUGUAAAGCUCUUUUACCAGGGAUGAUAAUGACAGUACCUGGAGAAUAAGCUCCGGCUAACUCCGUGCCAGCCGCCGCCGUAACAC